GUGCCUGUGGCUCAAAGGAGUAGGGCGCUGGCCCCAUAUGCCAGAGGUGGCGGGUUCAAACCCAGCCCUGGCCA
rfam:Otolemur garnettii contig042449, whole genome shotgun sequence.